CCUACGGGAGUCAGCAGUGGGGAAUAUUGCACAAUGGGGGAAACCCUGAUGCAGCCAUGCCGCGUGUGUGAAGAAGGCCUUCGGGUUGUAAAGCACUUUCAGUUGUGAGGAAAAGUUAGUAGUUAAUACCUGCUAGCCGUGACGUUAACAACAGAAGAAGCACCGGCUAACUCCGUGCCAGCAGCCGCGGUAAUACGGAGGGUGCGAGCGUUAAUCGGAAUUACUGGGCGUAAAGCGCACGCAGGCGGUUUGUUAAGCUAGAUGUGAAAGCCCCGGGCUCAACCUGGGAUGGUCAUUUAGAACUGGCAGACUAGAGUCUUGGAGAGGGGAGUGGAAUUCCAGGUGUAGCGGUGAAAUGCGUAGAUAUCUGGAGGAACAUCAGUGGCGAAGGCGACUCCCUGGCCAAAGACUGACGCUCAUGUGCGAAAGUGUGGGUAGCGAACAGGAUUAGAUACCCUGGUAGUCCACACCGUAAACGCUGUCUACUAGCUGUGUGUGUCUUUAAGACGUGCGUAGCGAAGCUAACGCGCUAAGUAGACCGCCUGGGGAGUACGGCCGCAAGGUUAAAACUCAAAUGAAUUGACGG
rnacentral:rRNA from 1 species